rnacentral:rRNA from 1 species
CUAAACGUCAGACGAUGAAGCCCAGCUUGCUGGGUGGUUAGUGGCGACGGGUGAGUAACACGUGAGUAACCUGCCCUUAACUCUGGGAUAAGCCUGGGAAACUGGGUCUAAUACCGGAUAGGAGCGUCCACCGCAUGGUGGGUGUUGGAAAGAUUUAUCGGUUUUGGAUGGACUCGCGGCCUAUCAGCUUGUUGGUGAGGUAAUGGCUCACCAAGGCGACGACGGGUAGCCGGCCUGAGAGGGUGACCGGCCACACUGGGACUGAGACACGGCCCAGACUCCUACGGGAGGCAGCAGUGGGGAAUAUUGCACAAUGGGCGAAAGCCUGAUGCAGCGACGCCGCGUGAGGGAUGACGGCCUUCGGGUUGUAAACCUCUUUCAGUAGGGAAGAAGCGAAAGUGACGGUACCUGCAGAAGAAGCACCGGCUAACUACGUGCCAGCAGCCGCGGUAAUACGUAGGGUGCGAGCGUUAUCCGGAAUUAUUGGGCGUAAAGAGCUCGUAGGCGGUUUGUCGCGUCUGUCGUGAAAGUCCGGAGCUUAACCCCGGAUCUGCGGUGGGUACGGGCAGACUAGAGUGCAGUAGGGGAGACUGGAAUUCCUGGUGUAGCGGUGGAAUGCGCAGAUGUCAGGAGGAACACCGAUGGCGAAUGCAGGUCUCUGCACUGUAACUGACGCUGAGGAGCGAAAGCAUGGGGAGCGAACAGGAUUAGAUACCCUGGUAGUCCAUGCAGUAAACGUUGGAGCACUAGGUGUGGGGACCAUUCACCGGUUUCGGCGCCGCAGCUAACGCAUUAUGUGCCCCGCCUGGAGAGUACGGGCGCUAGGCUAAAACUCAAAUGAUAUU